UACGUAGGGUGCGAGCGUUAAUCGGAAUUACUGGGCGUAAAGCGUGCGCAGGCGGUUUUGUAAGCCAGAUGUGAAAGCCCCGGGCUUAACCUGGGAAUGGCAUUUGGGACUGCAAGGCUUGAGUGCGGCAGAGGAGACUGGAAUUCCUGGUGUAGCAGUGAAAUGCGUAGAUAUCAGGAGGAAUACCGAUGCGAAGGCAGGUCUCUGGGACUGACACUGACGCUCAUGCACGAAGCGUGGG
rnacentral:rRNA from 1 species